rnacentral:misc_RNA from 1 species
UUAAGUUCAGCGGGUAUCCCUACCUGAUCCGAGGUUAAAGACGGUGGUCAUCUUGCUGGAUCGCGUCCCGGGAGCCGCCCUCGAGAAGCGUAAUGUGCUGCGCGAGAGGGGGCAAAGAAACGCUGCCAAUGGAUUUGGGGCAAGUCUACGCGCGGGGGCGGGGACAGACGCCCAACACUAAGCAGAGCUUAAGGGUGUAG